AUUGAACGCUGGCGGCAUGCCUAACACAUGCAAGUCGAACGGCAGCACAGCAGUAGCAAUACUGUGGGUGGCGAGUGGCGGACGGGUGAGGAAUACGUCGGAAUCUGCCCAGUCGUGGGGGAUAACUAGCCGAAAGGUUAGCUAAUACCGCAUACGACCGAGAGGUGAAAGCGGGGGACCGCAAGGCCUCGCGCGAUUGGAUGAGCCGACGUCGGAUUAGCUAGUUGGCGGGGUAAAGGCCCACCAAGGCGACGAUCCGUAGCUGGUCUGAGAGGAUGAUCAGCCACACUGGAACUGAGACACGGUCCAGACUCCUACGGGAGGCAGCAGUGGGGAAUAUUGGACAAUGGGCGCAAGCCUGAUCCAGCAAUGCCGCGUGUGUGAAGAAGGCCUUCGGGUUGUAAAGGACACUUUAUCAGGAACGAAAAGACGUUGGAUUAAUACUCUGACGUGCUGUACAGUACCUGUAGGAAUAAGACACCGGCUAACGUUCG
rnacentral:rRNA from 1 species